UGGGGAAUAUUGGACAAUGGAGGCAACUCUGAUCCAGCCAUGCCGCGUGAAGGAAUAAGGCCCUAUGGGUUGUAAACUUCUUUUAGACGGGACAAAACCCCUUUACGUGUAAAGGGUUGAUGGUACUGUCAGAAUAAGCAUCGGCUAACUUCGUGCCAGCAGCCGCGGUAAUACGAAGGAUGCAAGCGUUAUCCGGAAUUAUUGGGUUUAAAGGGUGCGUAGGCGGACUAAUAAGUCAGUGGUGAAAGCCUGCAGCUUAACUGCAGAAUUGCCAUUGAUACUGUUAGUCUUGAGUACAGUUGAGGUAGGCGGAAUGUGUCAUGUAGCGGUGAAAUGCUUAGAUAUGACACAGAACACCGAUUGCGAAGGCAGCUUGCUAAGCUGUAACUGACGCUGAGGCACGAAAGCGUGGGGAGCAAACA
rnacentral:rRNA from 1 species